rnacentral:lncRNA from 1 species
UUAAUUGCAUGACAUGACACCAAAUUGAGACCAAUUUUUAAUGACAUGACAUUUGGGUGAAGACAUGUCAUGCCACAUUUGCCAAAUUAAAAUCCAGGUCAUUUAAAAUGAUUUUUUAUUUUAUUAAUAAUAUAAACUAUUCUAUUUAAAAAAAAAUUAAAAAUAACAUUAAAAAAAUAAAAAAUAAAUUCAUCAUCUUUAACCAAAUUUCAUCAUCUUCAAC